rnacentral:rRNA from 1 species
CAGCAGUAGCCGCGGUAAUACAGAGGGUGCGAGCGUUAAUCGGAUUUACUGGGCGUAAAGCGUGCGUAGGCUGCUUUUUAAGUCGGAUGUGAAAUCCCUGAGCUUAACUUAGGAAUUGCAUUCGAUACUGGGAAGCUAGAGUAUGGGAGAGGAUGGUAGAAUUCCAGGUGUAGCGGUGAAAUGCGUAGAGAUCUGGAGGAAUACCGAUGGCGAAGGCAGCCAUCUGGCCUAAUACUGACGCUGAGGUACGAAAGCAUGGGGAGCAAACAGGAUUAGAUACCCCAGUAGUCCCUGUCUCUUAUAC